AGGGCGGCGUGCUACCAUGCAAGUCGACGGUGAAAGAGAGCUUGCUCUCUGGAUCAGUGGCGAACGGGUGAGUAACACGUGAGCAAUCUGCCCCUGACUCUGGGAUAAGCGCUGGAAACGGCGUCUAAUACCGGAUACGAGCUGCGAAGGCAUCUUCAGCAGCUGGAAAGAACUUCGGUCAGGGAUGAGCUCGCGGCCUAUCAGCUAGUUGGUGAGGUAAUGGCUCACCAAGGCGUCGACGGGUAGCCGGCCUGAGAGGGUGACCGGCCACACUGGGACUGAGACACGGCCCAGACUCCUACGGGAGGCAGCAGUGGGGAAUAUUGCACAAUGGGCGCAAGCCUGAUGCAGCAACGCCGCGUGAGGGACGACGGCCUUCGGGUUGUAAACCUCUUUUAGCAGGGAAGAAGCGAAAGUGACGGUACCUGCAGAAAAAGCACCGGCUAACUACGUGCCAGCAGCCGCGGUAAUACGUAGGGUGCAAGCGUUAUCCGGAAUUAUUGGGCGUAAAGAGCUCGUAGGCGGUUUGUCGCGUCUGCUGUGAAAACUGGGGGCUCAACCCCCAGCCUGCAGUGGGUACGGGCAGACUAGAGUGCGGUAGGGGAGAUUGGAAUUCCUGGUGUAGCGGUGGAAUGCGCAGAUAUCAGGAGGAACACCGAUGGCGAAGGCAGAUCUCUGGGCCGUAACUGACGCUGAGGAGCGAAAGGGUGGGGAGCAAACAGGCUUAGAUACCCUGGUAGUCCACCCCGUAAACGUUGGGAACUAGUUGUGGGGUCCAUUCCACGGAUUCCGUGACGCAGCUAACGCAUUAAGUUCCCCGCCUGGGGAGUACGGCCCGCAAGGCUAAAACUCUAGAGAUAUAUGUAC
rnacentral:rRNA from 1 species